rnacentral:rRNA from 1 species
AGUACGGUCCCAAGGCUGAAACUUAAAGGAAUUGGCGGGGGAGCACCACAACCGGUGGAGCCUGCGGUUUAAUUGGACUCAACGCCGGGAAGCUCACCGGAUAAGACAGCAGAAUGAUUGCCGGGCUGAAGACUCUGCAUGACUAGCUGAGAGGAGGUGCAUGGCAAACCUUCUGCUGGCUU